AUUGAACGCUGGCGGCAUGCCUUACACAUGCAAGUCGAACGGCAGCGCGGACUUCGGUCUGGCGGCGAGUGGCGAACGGGUGAGUAAUACAUCGGAACGUACCCUGUUGUGGGGGAUAACUAGUCGAAAGAUUAGCUAAUACCGCAUGCGACCUGAGGGUGAAAGUGGGGGACCGCAAGGCCUCACGCAGCAGGAGCGGCCGAUGUCUGAUUAGCUAGUUGGUGGGGUAAAGGCCCACCAAGGCGACGAUCAGUAGCUGGUCUGAGAGGACGAUCAGCCACACUGGGAAUGAGACACGGCCCAGACUCCUACGGGAGGCAGCAGUGGGGGAUUUUGGACAAUGGGGGCAACCCUGAUCCAGCAAUGCCGCGUGUGUGAAGAAGGCCUUCGGGUUGUAAAGCACUUUUGUCCGGAAAGAAAUCGCGCUGGUUAAUACCUGGCGUGGAUGACGGUACCGGAAGAAUAAGCACCGGCUAACUACGUGCCAGCCGCCGCCGUAA
rnacentral:rRNA from 1 species